GGCCCGGAUGGCGUGGAUGCCGUGGCCGCUACCACCGGUCCGGGCCUCGUGGGGUCCCUGCUCGUCGGGGUCA
rnacentral:tRNA from 1 species